GCCAGGUCAGCUGUCCUCUGCUCUUAGUGGCAGUGUCAUCCAGCUGUGAUAGCUGAGUAGAUUUUCUCACCCGCCAGUGGCAGACAGGAAUUUUUAGCAGCUGAUAGACCCCGGAUCAAUAACUUACAUAAAGCAGCUCCUGAGUCACCUCCAGCAAGUGCACACACGUGAAAUUGGGGAGAAAUAGUCUUGAGCUUGUGCUGCUCUGGGAUCACAGAGUGGGGAGAUUGAGAGGGCCACAGUGCAGCUCUUUUCUCCAGUCUCCCACAUUUUCUCUUGGAGCAGGAUUUCUCCCCAGGUGUCUCCCACAUUUUUCUUGGAACAGGAUUUCUCCUCAGACUGGCUCAAAAUUUGGAUUCCUGGCUCUGGGAAACUGGACCUCAGCCCUGCUCCGAGACUUUCUGUGUCCUGUUGAAGGUCUGGAUCCCCUCAGCACCCAGCAGGAUUCCUCCUGCCUCAGUCCUGCCUCCAACCUCAGCAGCUGAGAACAGACAGUUAGGCCAUGAUAGUUUCAGAGCGCCCUUUGUAAACAUCAGAUUCUGUACAUCUAAUUCCAUCUCUCCCAAAAACCAGCAGUGGGUGUUGGAUGUGAAAUCCCGACCCUGCUGAGGAUUCAGCAGAAUCUUGAACCAUUCCCAGAAACCUUUGAAAUCUGCACAGAUGCUGCAGUCUGAGAAGCCUCCCACUGAAAUUCAAGCAGUACAGUUCUGUUCUUCCCAGGACAGGGCUCUUGGAAACUGGGAGGAGGAAGAGAAUGGGGCAUUCUCCAUCCAUAGGGGUAUAUUAGGUCACCAUAUGGAUUUUCUGAGUGAGUUUGGGCAAGUUAUUACAAAUCAAUGCAAAUUAGUUCGGCUUUGCAUCCAAGCAGCCCAAUAAAUGGAUUGAAGCAGCAGACUGGAACUUGCUUGUGCUAACAGUCAUCCUGAUCACUCCUUUUUCCAGCAGGCCCUUACCAGGUCUGGAAAAAUCCUUUCCCAAGGAUCUU